AGGCAUUCAGGCAGCGAGAGCAGAGCAGCGUAGAGCAGCACAGCUGAGCUCGUGAGGCAGGAGACUCAGCCCGAGGAAAUCGCAGAUAAGUUUUUAAUUAAAAAGAUUGAGCAGUAAAAAGAAUUAGAACUCUAAACUUAAGCUAAUAGAGUAGCUUAUCGAAAUAUUACUUAGUCUUAAUAAUCUAAGAAGAUCUUAAGAGAUAACAUGAAGGCUUAUUUAAACAGUUUGAAAAAGGAAAUGAGGAGAAAAGUAUUUGUACUGUAUAAUGGAGGCUGACCAGAGCAGUUUAGGAGAUUGUAAAGGGAGGUUUUGUGAAGUUCUAAAAGGUUCUAGUUUGAAGGUCGGCCUUGUAGAUUAAAACGAAGGUUACCUAAAUAGAAUCUAAGUGGCAUUUAAAACAGUAAAGUUGUAGAGAAUAGUUUGAAAAUGAGGUGUAGUUUUAAAAGAUUGAGAAAAGUAGGUUAAGUUGACGGCCGUUAUAAAAAUCCUUCGACUGGCGCAUGUACGUUUGAAGGCAUGAGUUGGAAACAGGGAAGAUGGAAGUGUUAGGCUAGCCGGGCGAUGGUGGCGCACGCCUUUAAUCCUAGCACUUGGGAGGCAGAGGCAGGCGGAUUUCUGAGUUCGAGGCCAGCCUGGUCUACAGAGUGAGUUCCAGGACAGCCAGGGCUACACAGAGAAACCCUGUCUUGAAAAAACAAAAAGGUUAGGCUAGUAUUUGGAGAAAGAAGAUUAGAAAAUGGAAGUGAAAGACGAAGAAGACAUACAGGAAGGUGAAGAAAAAGCUGUUAGAGAAGAUAGGAAAAUAGAAGACAAAGCAUCUUUAGAAGACAGAAAAGCUGACCCAGGUCUACACAGAAGUGCAUUCAGUGAACUAGGAAGACAGGAGCGGCAGACAGGAGUCCCGAAGCCAGUUUGGUGAAGCUAGGAAGGACUGAGGAGCCAGCAGCAGCAGUGCAUGGUGAAGAUAGCCCAGGAAAGAGUGCGGUUCGGUGGAGGAAGCUAGGAAGAAGGAGCCAUACGGAUGUGGUGGUGAAGCUGGGAAAGGGUUCCAGGAUGGUGGAGCGAGAGCGAGUUGGUGAUGAAGCUAGCUGGCGGCUUGGCUUGUCAACUGCGCGGAGGAGGCGAGCAGGCAUUGUGGAGAGGAUAGAUAGCGGCUCCUAGACCAGCAUGCCAGUGUGCAAGAAAGGAGAACCUCAGGAGCUUGGCUAGGCCAGAGGUUGAAGUUAAGUUUUACAGCACCGUGAUUUAAAAUAUUUCAUUAAAGGGGAGGGGUAAAACUUAGUUGGCUGUGGCCUUGUGUUUGGGUGGGUGGGGGUGUUAGGUAAUUGUUUAGUUUAUGAUUUCAGAUAAUCAUACCAGAGAACUUAAAUAUUUGGAAAAACAGGAAAUCUCAGCUUUCAAGUUGGCAAGUAACUCCCAAUCCAGUUUUUGCUUCUUUUUUCCUUUUUCUUUUUUUGAGGCGGGCAGCUAAGGAAGGUUGGUUCCUCUGCCGGUCCCUCGAAAGCGUAGGGCUUGGGGGUUGGUCUGGUCCACUGGGAUGAUGUGAUGCUACAGUGGGGACUCUUCUGAAGCUGUUGGAUGAAUAUAGAUUGUAGUGUGUGGUUCUCUUUUGAAAUUUUUUUCAGGUGACUUAAUGUAUCUUAAUAACUACUAUAGGAACAAAGGAAGUGGCUUUAAUGACCCUGAAGGAAUUUCUUCUGGUGAUAGCUUUUAUAUUAUCAAGUAAGAGAUACUAUCUCAGUUUUGUAUAAGCAAGUCUUUUUCCUAGUGUAGGAGAAAUGAUUUUCCUUGUGACUAAACAAGAUGUAAAGGUAUGCUUUUUUUCUUCUUGUGCAUUGUAUACUUGUGUUUAUUUGUAACUUAUAAUUUAAGAAUUAUGAUAAUUCAGCCUGAAUGUCUUUUAGAGGGUGG
rnacentral:lncRNA from 1 species